rnacentral:rRNA from 1 species
CAGCAGCCGCGGUAAUUCCAGCUCCAAUAGCGUAUAUUAAAGUUGUUGCAGUUAAAAAGCUCGUAGUUGAACCUUGGGCCUGGCUGGCCGGUCCGCCUCACCGCGUGUACUGGUCCGGCCGGGCCUUUCCUUCUGGGGAGCCGCAUGCCCUUCACUGGGCGUGUCGGGGAACCAGGACUUUUACUUUGAAAAAAUUAGAGUGUUCAAAGCAGGCCUUUGCUCGAAUACAUUAGCAUGGAAUAAUAGAAUAGGACGUGCGGUCCUAUUUUGUUGGUUUCUAGGACCGCCGUAAUGAUUAAUAGGGAUAGUCGGGGGCAUCCGUAUUCAAUUGUCAGAGGUGAAAUUCUUGGAUUUAUUGAAGACGAACUACUGCGAAAGCAUUUGCCAAGGAUGUUUUCAUUAAUCAGUGAACGAAAGUUAGGGGAUCGAAGACGAUCAGAUACCGUCGUAGUCUUAACCAUAAACUAUGCCGACUAGGGAUCGGUGGAUGUUUCUAUUUUGACUCCAUCGGCACCUUACGAGAAAUCAAAGUUUUUGGGUUCUGGGGGGAGUAUGGUCGCAA